GCUGGUCAGUGAUGAGUUUAAAUUGUAACUUGGACUGCUGGAUGAGAUUUGCGGAUAUGGGACUGAGAUCAGCU